UACGUAGGGACCAAGCGUUGUUCGGAUUUACUGGGCGUAAAGGGCGCGUAGGCGGCGUGUUAAGUCACUUGUGAAAUCUCUAAGCUUAACUUAGAACGGUCAAGUGAUACUGAUGUGCUAGAGUGCAGAAGGGGCAACCGAAUUCUUGGUGUAGCGGUGAAAUGCGUAGAUAUCAAGAGGAACACCUGAGGUGAAGACGGGUUGCUGGGCCAACACUGACGCUGAUGCGCGGAAAGCCCAGGGGAGCAAACGGG
rnacentral:rRNA from 1 species